GUUCGACUUUUCAGAAAUAUUUUUUGAUAGUUGUGUAAAUGACAGACAGUGCAGAUGCUAUUUUCAAAAUUUUAUGUUUUUGCGCUCUUGGCUUUGAGUUUUUUACAUUCUUCAAAUAGUGUCGAAAAAUGCUGGAAAUGUAAGUCUUGGAGAGGCGACUGUCUUCUACAAAAAAAUGUGAUAGUACAGUUUUGUGAAAACAGUACUAAAUGUUUGACCAUUAAAAUGAACUUUCUUCAUGGUAAUACGCGAAGAUGUCAACGAAAUGAAGACGACUGCAAAAAUAGCAGCUUUAGUACUUGUUAUUCGUGUAACGAAAAUUUGUGCAACAGUAAUGGAUGUGAAUAUGUUUCUUCUAGUAAGUUUUUUUUAAUAUUAGGGUUUUUCAUGGUGCUGUUAAAAUGUUUAUUAUAAAAACGUACUUUUGUGUAA